UACGUAGGGGGCUAGCGUUGUCCGGAUUUAUUGGGCGUAAAGAGCGUGUAGGCGGCCAGGUAGGUCUGCUGUGAAAACUCGAGGCUCAACCUCGAGACGUCGGCGGAAACCAUCUGGCUAGAGUCCGGAAGAGGAGAGUGGAAUUCCACGUGUAGCAGUGAAAUGCGUAGAGAUGUGGAGGAACACCGAUGGCGAAGGCAGCCCCCUGGGUUAACACUGACGCUCAGGCACGAAAGCGUGGGGAGCAAACAGG
rnacentral:rRNA from 1 species